CCUACGGGUGGCAGCAGUGGGGAAUAUUGGACAAUGGGGGCAACCCUGAUCCAGCCAUGCCGCGUGUGUGAAGAAGGCCCUCGGGUUGUAAAGCACUUUCAGUGAGGAAGAACGCCUGGUGGUUAAUACCCAUCAGGAAAGACAUCACUCACAGAAGAAGCACCGGCUAACUCCGUGCCAGCAGCCGCGGUAAUACGGAGGGUGCGAGCGUUAAUCGGAAUUACUGGGCGUAAAGCGCGCGUAGGUGGCUUGAUAAGCCGGUUGUGAAAGCCCCGGGCUCAACCUGGGAACGGCAUCCGGAACUGUCAAGCUAGAGUGCAGGAGAGGAAGGUAGAAUUCCCGGUGUGGCGGUGAAAUGCGUAGAGAUCGGGAGGAAUACCAGUGGCGAAGGCGGCCUUCUGGACUGACACUGACACUGAGGUGCGAAAGCGUGGGUAGCAAACAGGAUUAGAUACCCUUGUAGUC
rnacentral:rRNA from 1 species